rnacentral:lncRNA from 1 species
UGUCGUUUGUUUAUGUGUUACAUAUUUGUUUUUCGUUCAUUAUUGGUUCAUUUAUCAGGCUGUUAGUUUUCUCUUUUGAAUUGAUUUACAUCGCCAUUUCGAGUUUUUUUUAUAGCUGACUGUGCGGUUUGGGCUUUGCUCAUUGUUGAAGGCUGUACUGUGACCUAUAGUUGUUACUUUAUGUGUCAUUUGGUCCCUUGAGGAGAGUUGUCUUAUUGGCAAUCAUACCACAUCUUCUUUUUUUUUAUAAACAAGGGUUAAACUUAAAGCCCCUCCGCUAUGGCAGGGGGCAUAAAAUAAGUUUAUGAGAUACAUUUGUACAUCUAGAAUAAUAUCAAGGUUAUAACAAAAUGCACCCAAAUUUCCUUUAGAAAAAGGGCAAUAAC